rnacentral:rRNA from 1 species
UUGAAGAGUUUGAUCAUGGCUCAGAUUGAACGCUGGCGGCAGGCCUAACACAUGCAAGUCGAGCGGUAGCACAGAGCUUGCUCUCGGGUGACGAGCGGCGGACGGGUGAGUAAUGUCUGGGAAACUGCCUGAUGGAGGGGGAUAACUACUGGAAACGGUAGCUAAUACCGCAUAACGUCGCAAGACCAAAGUGGGGGACCUUCGGGCCUCAUGCCAUCAGAUGUGCCCAGAUGGGAUUAGCUAGUAGGUGGGGUAACGGCUCACCUAGGCGACGAUCCCUAGCUGGUCUGAGAGGAUGACCAGCCACACUGGAACUGAGACACGGUCCAGACUCCUACGGGAGGCAGCAGUGGGGAAUAUUGCACAAUGGGCGCAAGCCUGAUGCAGCCAUGCCGCGUGUGUGAAGAAGGCCUUCGGGUUGUAAAGCACUUUCAGCGGGGAGGAAGGCGUUAAGGUUAAUAACCUUGGCGAUUGACGUUACCCGCAGAAGAAGCACCGGCUAACUCCGUGCCAGCAGCCGCGGUAAUACGGAGGGUGCAAGCGUUAAUCGGAAUUACUGGGCGUAAAGCGCACGCAGGCGGUCUGUCAAGUCGGAUGUGAAAUCCCCGGGCUCAACCUGGGAACUGCAUUCGAAACUGGCAGGCUAGAGUCUUGUAGAGGGGGGUAGAAUUCCAGGUGUAGCGGUGAAAUGCGUAGAGAUCUGGAGGAAUACCGGUGGCGAAGGCGGCCCCCUGGACAAAGACUGACGCUCAGGUGCGAAAGCGUGGGGAGCAAACAGGAUUAGAUACCCUGGUAGUCCACGCCGUAAACGAUGUCGAUUUGGAGGUUGUGCCCUUGAGGCGUGGCUUCCGGAGCUAACGCGUUAAAUCGACCGCCUGGGAGUACGGCCGCAAGGUUAAAACUCAAAUGAAUUGACGGGGGCCCGCACAAGCGGUGGAGCAUGUGGUUUAAUUCGAUGCAACGCGAAGAACCUUACCUGGUCUUGACAUCCACAGAACUUUCCAGAGAUGGAUUGGUGCCUUCGGGAACUGUGAGACAGGUGCUGCAUGGCUGUCGUCAGCUCGUGUUGUGAAAUGUUGGGUUAAGUCCCGCAACGAGCGCAACCCUUAUCCUUUGUUGCCAGCGGUUCGGCCGGGAACUCAAAGGAGACUGCCAGUGAUAAACUGGAGGAAGGUGGGGAUGACGUCAAGUCAUCAUGGCCCUUACGACCAGGGCUACACACGUGCUACAAUGGCAUAUACAAAGAGAAGCGACCUCGCGAGAGCAAGCGGACCUCAUAAAGUAUGUCGUAGUCCGGAUUGGAGUCUGCAACUCGACUCCAUGAAGUCGGAAUCGCUAGUAAUCGUAGAUCAGAAUGCUACGGUGAAUACGUUCCCGGGCCUUGUACACACCGCCCGUCACACCAUGGGAGUGGGUUGCAAAAGAAGUAGGUAGCUUAACCUUCGGGAGGGCGCUUACCACUUUGUGAUUCAUGACUGGGGUGAAGUCGUAACAAGGUAACCGUAGGGGAACCUGCGGUUGGAUCACCUCCUU